UGGUGGAGCGAUUUGUCUGGUUAAUUCCGAUAACGAACGAGACUCUGACCUACUAAACAGUUGGCAGUUCAAUACGACUGCAAAACUUCUUAGAGGGACUAGCGGUGCUAACCGCACGAGAUUGAGCAAUAACA
rnacentral:rRNA from 1 species